rnacentral:tRNA from 1 species
AUGGGUGUGAUGAAAUUUGGUAAACAUAUUAGAUUUAGAAUCUAAUGACAUGUAAAUUAUAGUCUUGAGGGUUCAAGUCCCUCUACCCAUA